UACGUAGGUGGCAGCGUGUCGGAUUCGAUCUGGGCGUAAAGAGCGCGCAGGCGGUUAUUAAGUCGAUGUGAAAGCCCCCGGCUCAACUGGGGAGGGUCACGCGAUACUGAUCGACUCGAAGGCAGGAGAGGGUAGUGGAAUUCCCGGUGUAGUGGUGAAAUGCGUAGAUAUCGGGAGGAACACCAGUGGCGAAGGCGACUACCUGGCCUGUUCUUGACGCUGAGGCGCGAAAGCUAGGGGAGCAAACGGG
rnacentral:rRNA from 1 species